AAAUAUCCGGUUUUAAAUAUUUUACUGUCUAUAAUAUUAAAAAUAUAAAAUAUUGCAACGGUGACAAGUCGGCUGCGUAAAAAUUUGACUCUUGUGACAGAGUUCUGAUGCACACAGGUGGUUCUUUAUUUUUUUAAUCUUAUAAUAAAUUAAUUCGUAGAAUAAAGUCAUAUAAAACCUAAAACAGGUGGUGCAGGUGUGUCUAAAAUAGUGCGAUAGUUAUAAGUAAAAAGAAAAUUCUUGAAACUUUUUGUUGCUUUAUU